CUGGCACCACUCGAUCUGGAACAGAUGUCGUCACAGCAGCAUGGCACCGCCCCUCCGCCCACCGCCACUACGAGGACAUCUGGGUUGCUGGUCGCUGGUUCCCCAAGCCACGCGCCCCUUCUCUUCCGUCUAGGGACCUGGGUCCUCGCACGCAGGGAGGGCGUGAACGGCAUGCGGGACCGACCACCUCUGAUGGGGGCGGAGCCCGUCCUUGCCGCCGCCGACGCGGGGGACGCGACCAAGGGCGAGGACGUGACCUCGACGUCGCGCUUGGAAGGAGACCGGGAUGCGACGAGCGCUAAAACAACUAGCCCGAUCCACUCGCGGGAUGGGAGCCGCUGCGCCAGCCGCUAG
rnacentral:misc_RNA from 1 species